GGCAGUUCUCAGGUAACGCACCCUGGAAUCGGGCUCCCUCCUCUCUGGUUCCAGGUGUGUCACCCAAGAACCGCA
rfam:Myotis lucifugus cont2.27160, whole genome shotgun sequence.